AAACCUAGUGUAGGUGUUAGGGUCCAGUUGCAUAAAGCCCCGAGUUUCGGGGUUUUUUGUUAUUUUAAAAUAAUUAUUUUUUU
rnacentral:sRNA from 1 species